CUCUGUCCUCAUGUCCUAUAGGACGGACAACUCAUGGAUCAUGGAUACACACAAGCUGCAUGGGUUUUCAGAUAAUGUGCAGUCACUUAACAAAAGGAACCAGACAAAAGCAAGAUGUGUCCCAUGCUUACGUGCUCCUCGUUAUGGAGCGGAGGAUGAAUGCCACCGCGUUCUCAAUGAUCUCUGUGCCCAGGAGGUUGAGGAAGCCUGGGAGCCCUGAGUCUGGCUCUGGUUUUUUGCCAGCGUCAUCUGGCUUGUCUGCUGGUUUGUCAUCUGAAAAACAGAGCAGAAUCUCAGAGAAACUGCAGCCAUUUCCACACAUCAGCAAUGCAUGGUCGUUUGGAACUGCUCCAGUUUCCUCAUCAGGAGGAAUAAGCAGACAAGCAGCACUUGAGCCAAUCAUCUCAAGAUCCUCAACUCCUUCCGCUACCAUGGGCUGAUUGACCUCGAGACUGUGGAUGUGGAACUGAAGUGAAUGGCAAAGGUGUGGAUGUGGUCAUGAUGUGGCGAUCUGGCCAGCAGAAUCUGGCCAGCAGAAGACUGCCACCUCCUUUGUGUGGCCCACCACCCACAAGCCAGCCCAGGCCAUCAGCAUCUGGCACAUGAUCCACAAGAACGAAGACUGCCCCAGCCUGUGCAUGACUGCCAUCUGCAGGCCUGUGCAGCCAGAAUCCUGAUGGUGAAGAGGAGGACUUGCCCCAUGGAGAGUUCCUGGGCCCACCCCCAUCCCCCAAGCAAUAAAGGUGUUAGCCAACUCCAAAAAAUAAUAACAAUAAAUAAAUGCAAUC